UUGUGAUAUGCGGGGUUUUAGCGGCGCCUUGUUACCCGAAAUCCGCUUUAUGCGGGGCAGAAUUCCCUCCCAAGGGCUUGCGGGUAAAGGAGAUAUGCUGACCGGUCGCCGCGCAACAGGCUAUUACGAACCUCGUCAGGUCCGGAAGGAAGCAGCGAUAAGUAAACCAGCCUGUGUCGUGGAUCGAUCCCGGUUCUGUUGUAUUUUCUUUCCGUAACGGUUCGACGGAGGGUUCACAA
rnacentral:SRP_RNA from 1 species